AGCACACCAAACUCGCACGUGUUGCCAAUCAAAUCCAAAGACAGCAGCUAAGGGGUGUGCUUCUCACAGGUCCUGAGUGUGAAGCAAGCUUGCUGGCCCUUCAUUGAGGCGGGACAUUAAUUCCCAGAUGCUGCAGACCGCAGGACCCUCACACCUUUCACGGAGGUGGUAGAUGUCGUGAAAAAGCCUUCAUCCAUCUCUAGUCCAUUUGACAAUGACAUUGCCUCGGGUUUAAAGAUGUGGACCCUGGAGCUAGACUGCUGGGGUUUGGACCAGGGUUUGCCAUUUACUACUGCAUCCAUUUGAUAACCCUCCAAACCUGAGUCUGCAUGUGAAGCAUGUCUUCUGAACUCCAAGCCUGAGCACUUGUCAUCUCCACUGAGCGAUCUGACCAUUUUCUCCAUGUCAACAUAUUUAAUACUAAAUUGAUGGUUUUUCUCACCAUCCAACUCUUUCGGAGCAUCUAGGGAGAAGCAGGAAGCAAUGAGUUUGAGUGUAAGUCAGGACGCAAUCUGCCCUUGAAGCCAUUUCACCGGACACGUUGAGAGAGGAAACCCUCUCGG
rnacentral:lncRNA from 1 species